rnacentral:ncRNA from 1 species
GAAAAAGCGAUGAAGAGGAAUAGUAAGUUUAUUUUCGAUGACAGAGAGCUGCUGGGAGGUGGAAAGCGGCAGAGAGAAUAAUCUGAACUCGCCUCCGAGCGGCUGCCCGAAAUUCUAAGGAAAAGUAGACGCAGACGGAGCCCGACCGUUAUUCAGGGAGAGAUAUAAGGUUAUUGCAGUGACCCGUAUCUUGCAGAGCGUAUGAAGAUACUUCAUAAAAUAGAGUGGUACCGCGUAGGACAGUUAGCAGUCUUUCGUCUCUAUC